GGGAAAAGUUGAUUCUGCUUUGGUUUCUUUGUCAUUUGUGAAGAGUCCCAGCAGCCACCUUUGCUUUGCCGCUGAUAGGAAUUGUCUCUGCUUGCUUCAGUAACUGGAGCACUCGUCCCACUGUCUUCGUCCUGUUUAUUCUCAGACAUUUGCUUACAAACAGAGCGCUGGACCACGUGCUCUCCAGAGGGUCAGGGCUUGGUGGCCCCGAAGAGCUGAUACAAACAAGGGAGCAAAGGAAUAGCUCAGGCCUCUGGAGUGGUCUUCAUGAGAAAAUGAAGCUGUAUGGCAGAGAUCCUCAGCCUCCAGGUUGUAGGUGGGUACCACUCGUGGCAGGUGAGAGAAUCUUAACUAUGUUUACAGCUACUGCCCGUGGUUCACAGGAGCUCCUGUCAGAUCAGCAGCAGCCUUAGAUUCGCACAGGAACAUAAACCCCCGUGGACUGUGAGUGUGGGGGUGAGGAUGUGUGCUCCCUAUGAGGAUCUACUGGGAUAAUGAGAGAAAUAGUGCACACUGGGUAAUAACAGUGGGAAUAAAGUUCACAACAAAUUAACGUCCUUGAAUCAUCCUGAAACUUUCCCCUGCCCUGAUGGAAAAGCUGUCUCCCACAAAACCAGUCCUUGUUGCCAAAAAGGGA
rnacentral:lncRNA from 1 species